rnacentral:lncRNA from 1 species
AAAGUCAAAAUGACCAUAAAAGGUAAAUGUUUUGAACUGAUUCAGAACAUAGAGACAGCUGUGACAGCACAGCUAAAGGCAGCACCAAAGCAGACCUCCAGAACUGCCUCAGAAAGUGGCAGGAAUAGUGGGAUAAGUCCAUUCCAAGCAAAGCUCAGGUUAGAAGAUGCCUGUGUAGAGAGCAGUCAGUCACAAGAUGGACCUUCUGAAAAGAGGAGGGAGGCUUGGUGAGAGGUGAACAUCAAGAAGCUUCCAACAGGCAAGCAGUGCACCAGCUGGGAAAACAUCAUACCAGAUGCAACAAUAACCAUGAAGAAAUCUAGGAUGCAUUGCAACCAGGGAUUUUUGUAAAUGGGAAGGGAGAUAUUUGAAUAAACAAAGUACAUUUUAUGCUAGUUCUGAGUGGCACUUAUACACUAGGGGUCAGGAAAAUUGGCCUUCUGUGGCUAUCCAGUGACCUACCAUUCUGUACCUAAGCUCCAAGCACAUUGGUAGUCAUGGGGACCACCAUCUCAGGUUCUUAACGCAACUUCUGAAGACCACACCUUCAUUGAGGGGUUUUGUUUAUUACAACCAGUCCCUGGAUCUCAAAAUAUCAGAAUCACAAAAUAUCAAAAUCACUUACCUUAAAACCCAAAUUUCAAAAUAGAAAUUCAUAACAUCCCCA